rnacentral:rRNA from 1 species
ACGGAAGGCAGCAGUGGGGAAUAUUGCACAAUGGGCGAAAGCCUGAUGCAGCGACGCCGCGUGAGCGAUGAAGUAUUUCGGUAUGUAAAGCUCUAUCAGCAGGGAAGAUAAUGACGGUACCUGACUAAGAAGCACCGGCUAAAUACGUGCCAGCAGCCGCGGUAAUACGUAUGGUGCAAGCGUUAUCCGGAUUUACUGGGUGUAAAGGGAGCGUAGGCGGCAUGGCAAGUCUGAUGUGAAAACCCAGAGCUCAACUCUGGGAUUGCAUUGGAAACUGUCAAGCUAGAGUGUCGGAGGGGUAAGUGGAAUUCCCAGUGUAGCGGUGAAAUGCGUAGAUAUUGGGAGGAACACCAGUGGCGAAGGCGGCUUACUGGACGAUUACUGACGCUGAGGCUCGAAAGCGUGGGGAGCAAACAGGAUUAGAUACCCUGGUA